CAGAAAAGGGUGGAAGGUGGAUGCACGGAAGCUCGACUUCCUGGGGAAGGAGUUGGCCUGCUCCAAGGAGGCUUGCCGCUGGAAGGGAAAAAUUGCCAGUGAUGUGAUUCAUAUUUGGAAGGCUUACAAUCCUAUUGUUCCUGGCCUGUAACCUCUGCUUUCAGGACUGUCAUGCAGAUCAGGAUCACAUCUGAAGUGGAAAAGAAAGCAACUGAAAUAUCUGUAGCUCUGGAAGCCAUGCAGCGAAAGUUGCUCUGAUGCUGCUGGGCCUGUGAGUAUGCACAAUCCUACAGCCUUUUCCAAGAGGGAGAAAUAAAGUUUGUCUCAGUUCUUA